CGCCCGAUAACUAGCUGCUUUGGCCGGGGACUUUUAAUCCGUUGGUCGCAGGUUCAAGUCCUGCACGGCCCACCA
rnacentral:tRNA from 1 species